rnacentral:ncRNA from 1 species
ACGGGGAACUUACCAGGACCAGAUGUUUUUUAUGACUGACAGGCUCGGGUCUUUCAGGAUAUGUUUUUGGUGGUGCAUGGCCGUUGGUGGUGCGUGGGUUGACCUGUCUAGCGUGAUUCAGCUAACGAGCGAGAUUAUCGCCAAUUAUUUACUUUGCCGAAGUCCUUCGGUUAAAGUUCUAAUUGGGACUCCCUGCGAUUUUAGCAGGUGGAAGAGGGUAGCAAUAACAGGUCCGUGAUGCCCUUUAGAUGCUCUGGGCUGCACGCGUGCUACAAUGUUAGGAUCAAUAGGACUGCGAGCCUGAGAGGGUGCGCUACUCUUAUAAUCCCUAACGUAGUUGGGAUUGACGUUUGUAAUCAGCGUCAUGAACCAGGAAUCCCUUGUAAAUGUGUGUCAACAACGCACGUUGAAUACGUCCCUGCCCUUUGUACACACCGCCCGUCGCUCCUACCGAUUGGAUGACUCGGUGAAAUCACCGGAUGCUUACGAGCAGAAAGUGAUUAAAUCACGUUAUCUAGAGGAAGGAGAAGUCGUAACAAGGUAACGGUAGGUGAACCUGCCGUUGGAUCAGUU